rnacentral:rRNA from 1 species
UACGUAGGGUCCAAGCGUUAUCCGGAAUCACUGGGCGUAAAGCGUGCGUAGGUGGCGUGUUAAGUGUGAUGUUAAAUCGUGUGGCUCAACCAUAUCGAUGUGUCGCAUACUGGCAUGCUAGAGGGAAGCAGAGGCAAGUGGAAUUUGUAGUGUAGCAGUGAAAUGCGUAGAUAUUACAAGGAACACCAAUGGCGAAGGCAGCUUGCUGGGCUUCUUCUGACACUGAGGUACGAAAGCGUGGGGAGCAAACAGG